rnacentral:misc_RNA from 1 species
UAGUUGUGUGGGUGCAUGUACGCAUGAUCUUUUUGAUGCGGUACGUGUUGGCGUGUGAGUGGUGUUUGGUUUGUGUGGUUGGCGGGCUCUAUGCUUGUGCAUUGAACCGUUCACUAGCAUGCCUCUUCAUUGUUUGCUUCAAGUGCAUCUUGUGCCUUGGGCGACGUGUGGUCCCUAUGUUGGAUUCCUAUUGACGGUAUCGUUGUUGUCCCUCUAAAGAUUGAUUUUCGUUCGACAUUUGUAAUAGGAGGUCGAGCGGACUGUUAAACUUGGCUCGUUAUCCACCCCGUCAAGCGAAAACAAGCACGAUAGGAUUGGAUUGCGAUCUCAAGUUGGGCCCUUGGAUGCAGAAAGUUGUGUGGGAUUCGAUGUUAAAAUGUCGCAAACCCAAAGCGUUGUACGCUGAUGAUGGAUGACAUUCGUGUGCGUUGUGACUCUUUCUUGUUUGAAAGGGCUCAUGCGUGCCGAUGUUGACCGAGGAGUGCUACCUGGUUGAUCCUG